UACGUAGGGGGCAAGCGUUAUCCGGAUUUACUGGGUGUAAAGGGAGCGUAGACGGCGACGCAAGUCUGAAGUGAAAUGCCAGUGCUCAACACUGGAACUGCUUUGGAAACUGUGUGGCUAGAGUGCAGGAGAGGUAAGUGGAAUUCCUAGUGUAGCGGUGAAAUGCGUAGAUAUUAGGAGGAACACCAGUGGCGAAGGCGGCUUACUGGACUGUAACUGACGUUGAGGCUCGAAGGCGUGGGGAGCAAACAGG
rnacentral:misc_RNA from 1 species